rnacentral:rRNA from 1 species
AGUCUUUUAAAUGGUGACUUGUAUGAAUGAUUUGAUGAAAUAUAAACUGUCUCUUUAUUAUAAGUAGAAUUUAAUUUUUUAAUUAAAAAGUUAAAAUGUAAUUAAAAGACGAGAAGACCCCAUAGAGUUUUAUAUAAUUAUUUAAUUUGAAAUUAUUUAUAAAUUUAUAAAAAAAAAUUUAAAUUAAGUGAUUUUAUUUUAUUGGGGUGAUAGAAAAAUAAAUUUAACUUUUUUUUAUUUAAAACAUAAAUAAGUGAGUAUUUGAUCCAGAAUUUUUGAUUAUAAGAAAAAAUUACCUUGGGGAUAACAGCGUAAUUUUUUUUUUUAGAUCAAAUAANAAAAAGAGUUUGCGACCUCGAUKUUGGAUUAAGAUAAAAUUUAAAUGC